CUCAUGCUUCAGUUUUUGGACUAUGUGCUACAUUUAAAGUACCAAUAAAUUCCUCAUUACUUUUCCCUUCUCUUUUAAUUAAAAUAAAUUUCCUUGAUGUCCCACCCUAAAAGCUAAUACCUAUUCGUAGCUUUCUGUAUAAUUCUAGAAUCACCUCAACUUAACCUUUUCUCAUCUUCCAUUCCAUCGCCAUGUCUAUAGAAUUUUCUCUUAGAUUUUACUGGUAGUGGAUGCUUAUUAACAACUAAUGAUAUUGGUAGAUAAUAGAGAUAAAUGUCGAGAAUGGCAUUCCAAAAUUGAGGGUUUCACUGAUAUUUUUCUGCAAUCGUGGUGUAAGAACAUGGCUACUUUUAGAAUUAUGAAUUAAUUUACUGAUAAAUCCUAAAUCUUCUUCUCCUUCUAGCUUGGGUACGUGUAUUCCAUCUGAAAACGGGUGUACUUUGAACAUUUCGGUCCUUCCCCUUCAUUCUUGAUUCUCAGGUAAUAUGGAGGAUUUACGGCACCCCUUACAUACUGCGUUUGCUGGAGUAUCAAGUUCGGUUAGAUUCGUUUGCAUAGCCUUUUAGGAAUCUGUAAGUCGUACAGUUGCGAUUUAGUAUGAUCGACUAAGGCGAUAUCUUGGAUAGAAAAUUAUAGAUGCUAUGACUGUUAAUUACUAGAGUAGAAAGUAUUUUGAUGAAUGUUUCUUGGACUAUACAUAGAAUAAAUCUGGUUUAGCCAGAGAUUACAAAAUUAGUUUAUCAUCUACUUUUAUGUACAAUAUCCAUUAGCCCCUUAACCCUUUCUCAAACAUAUCCACGAGACUUCUCUAUGUACAUACAAAUCUCAUAAAACAUAAAUAUUUGUCUUGAUUUUGGUCUUUUAAAGUUGAGGAUCCACAUAAUAAGAUCCCUGCAGUGGAGUUGGUGCGUUAUCUUCCCUGAGCUUCAGAAAGAAUAUUGUAAGCUCCGUCCAAAAAUGAUAAAUUCUUAAGCAAAUGAGAAUAUGAGAUAACAAAGAAAUUCAGUCGUAUAGAAGCACAAGCAGUGCUCUGGAGAUUUGAAGAUGGAGAAGUAGGAUUUCUUGAUAUUGUAUAUUAGGACUCCUCAUUAAUGUUGCCAAAACUAUAGAAAGAACAAGAAGUUCAUAGGAUGUCCCCUAACUUUUCUUAACAUGUCAUUUUUACUUAUAUCAUAUUGAAGUACAUGCGAAAUCUAAUAUGAGACCAUCUUUCACUGUCGUAUAUAUUGUUGUUGAAAUUUUGAAUCUUUGAUUUUUGAACAAGUGAUGGUGCCCAAUUUUCUCACAUGACAAUGUAGACAUUACACAGCAUUAGCGUAUAAAUGUUGUAGAGAAAGUUGUUCAGCUGAUUUGAUCAUCAUGUAUUGGGCCCGUGCCUACCAAUAUAGUAUAAUAGAAAUAUAGAACGCUGGGAGUUGUCUUUAUGUUGGGUUGGUCACCCGAACCAUCACAACGAAUUUAAGCAAAUAUUAUUUUAUUCGCAAAUUGUAUUGAUCUAUCAUUUCAAAUUAAAAAUAAAUGUCAAAAUCUGAGACUCUAACUAUAUUACGUUAAUCAAUUACAGUUGGUUCAACUAUAAUUUAAUAUGCAAAAAUAUCUAGAUUGAUAAUAUGCCCAACUAAAGUUGAGAAAAUUUUAAUUCCCAAUAAUGAUUUAAAAGAUUAACAACAAAAGCAAACGAAAAUUAAAAAAACGGCUAAACUAACAUGUACAACAGCUAAAAUCGGGACAAUCGUACAAAGAGAUUUACUGGUAAAUUAUCAUUCUACUGGUAAUUUAGGUUUUGAGCUCAUACCAUUAGCCUUUUAAUAUAUAAAAAUAUACAAUAUCAAAUUAAGAUGAGACACCAAUCAAUUAUAUGCACAGUUUUAUAGUAGUUUAUUAAAAAAAUAAAGUGGUAGUCACUGUCGUUAUGAGUCACAAGUUUAUCCGCUGAGCUUGUGUCCUCCACAAGGUCCAUAGUUCCUACAUUUUUUUUAUUAUUUUUUUUUCAUUUUCAUUCUGUAUUCAAUAUUCGCAUUGGAGCCUGAUUAUUCCGAAAUCCGCCGCAUAGGACCCACUUGGGAGAAGCUCGCUAUCAAGAAUUUUUUCAUACUUAGGAUUAGGGGUGGGCAUUUGGACCAACCCGAAAUUCGAACGUUUAGGAUAUUAUAUUGGGCAAUUCGCAGAAUUACCCUUCUUUUGGGGUGGUCUUUAAAUUUUGCCCCUCAUAUUUGAAAUCUUUAAAUUUUGCCCUUCGACUAAAAUCCAUGGGUUCCAGGUUCGAAUCCCCACUCAGUCAAAAAUUUAAA